rnacentral:rRNA from 1 species
CGGUGUUCAACUGGCGUGUCCGCGGGACGUCCUGCCGGUGGGCUUAGCCCGCAAGGGCGGCCCAACUUCAAAUCCCAUCGCGGUGCUCUUCACUGAGUGUCGAGGUGGGCCGGCACGUUUACUUUGAACAAAUUAGAGUGCUUAAAGCAGGCUAAAACUUCGCCUGAAUACUGUGUGCAUGGAAUAAUGGAAUAGGACCUCGGUUCUAUUUUGUUGGUUUUCGGAACCCCGAGGUAAUGAUUAAUAGGAACGGAUGGGGGCAUUCGUAUUGCGACGUUAGAGGUGAAAUUCUUGGAUCGUCGCAAGACGGACAGAAGCGAAAGCAUUUGCCAAAAACGCUUUCAUUGAUCAAGAACGAAAGUUAGAGGUUCGAAGGCGAUCAGAUACCGCCCUAGUUCUAACCAUAAACGAUGCCAGCUAGCGAUCCGUCGACGUUCCUCCGAUGACUCGACGGGCAGCUUCCGGGAAACCAAAGCUUUUGGGUUCCGGGGGAAGUAUGGUUGCAAAGCUGAAACUUAAAGGAAUUGACGGAAGGGCACCACCAGGAGUGGAGCCUGCGGCUUAAUUUGACUCAACACGGGAAACCUCACCAGGCCCGGACACCGGAAGGAUUGACAGAUUGAGAGCUCUUUCUUGAUUCGGUGGGUGGUGGUGCAUAGCCGUUCUUAGUUGGUGGAGCGAUUUGUCUGGUUAAUUCCGAUAACGAACGAGACUCUAGCCUGCUAACUAGGCGUAUUUUCGACAUCUCAAAGGUCCGUCGUCCCGGCCCUCGGGUCGUGGGCGUGCGCGAUUUUUACUGUCGGCGUACUAUCAAUUCUUCUUAGAGGGACAGGUGGCUUCUAGCCGCACGAGAUUGAGCAAUAACAGGUCUGUGAUG